UUAGUUGAUAAUAAUAUGUUUCUUGUUGUAAAAUAAUUUAUCUUGACCGGAUGUUAACUUUUCAAAUUAAUAUUCCAAACUGAAACUUGUUUAUUUUCGAAACCGCUAUUUAUACUUUUCGGCCGUGACGUCAAUGACACGUGACGACCGUUGAAGGUAAAAUUAUCUACCAAUGAACGUAAUAUGAAAUGGCGGAUUUAAUGAAUGAGAUGCAAGCGUUAACAACAAUAUUAUACAAAUACAAUGACAAAAACCUUCAUCUUUUUCAGUAUUUCCAUAUACCAUGUCAACUGGUAACCUUAUUUCUCUACCAAGAUGUAACAUUGAUGGUGAACAUUCUGUAGAUGACUGGACAGAUGACCUGUAGGCCAUGAGUACUAAAUCAAUGUGUUCAUCCCAGUCAUCUUGAUUUGAAGAAACAUAAGAGUUAUCCAGACUAUCAAUGAAACAAUCCAAGGACAGAAUCUUUAUCGUUUCUGAUUUGCAUCUGGGUAAGCUUGUCG